ACGCACUGCGCGCACACACUCUCCAAACAAUGCUCCGAGGCGCCCGGCGGGGCGGUUGGCGGCUAGGAGACCAGCGGCGAGGCCGGGGGAGCGCGGCCCCGAGUCACUUCGUCAGGCUCGAAUUGAUCGUGCCCCCGGCCUCUGGCAGGGGAGAUCUCUGAUGAGGCAAGUGUUCUGCCUUUCCAGGAAGCCGCCCCGUGAGCCCCAUCCGCCUCCCCUGAGACCACGCCAGGGAGCCAGGCGCAAGAUGAACCAGCGCCCCGCCCGCUGCUCAAGAUGCACCAGACCAUCCCAGUGAACCCCGAGAGCCCGAAAAUGUCUGCGUGCAGCGACUUCGUGGAGCACAUCUGGAAGCCCGGGUCCUGCAAAAACUGCUUCUGCCUGCGCACCGACCACCAGCUGGCACCUGGCCGCUCCCAGCCCCGAGCCGGCAGCCUGCCCCCUCCGCCUCGCCUGCCCCCCAGGCCCGAGAGCGGCCGCCCGGAAGAUGAAGGCCUGAGCGGCUCGCCCUACUCCAAGCCCACCAUUGCCGUGAAGCCCACCAUGAUGAGCUCCGACGCCUCCGAGGGGUGGACAGAGGCUGGCGUGAGUGCCGACGUCGCGCAGGUCAUCUGGAGACGAGCCCCCGGCAAGCUCCCCCUCCCGAAGCAGGACGAUGUGCCAGUAGUUUACCUGGGCAGCUUCCGAGGCGUCCAGAAGCCUGCUGGGCCCUUGGCCCCGGCAGACGUGGGGCACCCUCGCUGCCCCCCUUCCUACGCCAUGGUCGGCCUGCACAGCCUAGAGCCCCGGGGCGAACGGAGUGUCGCCUUCCACCCAGUGAGCUUCCCCGAUGAGAAGCUUGGAAGAGAAGAUAAACCCACGAUUCCCUACCAAGAGCUGACCUCCCCUCAGGAGAGCUUCCGCCAGAAACUGGCUGCCUUUGCCGAGAUGACCUCUGGCUGCCACAAGGGCCCCAGGCCCUACCCCUCUGCGCAGCCCCUGCGGGAAUCCCUGCCCUCGGAGGAGGAUGACAGCGAUCAAAGGUGCUCGCCCUCAGGGGACAGCGAAGGGGGAGAAUACUGCUCCAUCCUGGACUGCUGCCCCGGGAGCCCAGGGGGUCAGGACGCCUCACAGGCCGUGGACUCCGGGCGCAGACAGGGCUGCGGGGACUGCUCGCCGGCCUGCUGGGAGCAGGGGGUGUGCGCGAGGCCAACCGAGGAGGAGAGGCGGGCUUUGAGCUUCCCCAGGGAGUGCCGCAGCCAGGGCCCGACGGAGAACCCGCCCCACCUGGGCCCCAAGAAGCAGUCCCUCACCUCCGAGGCCGCCAGCUCCUCGGAUGGCCUCUCCUGCGGGAGCGCCAGUAGCCGCGCCAGCAGCCCCUUGGUCCCCCAGCACGAGAGCGAUUCCUGCUCCCUCGUGAAGGCACCUGGGCCGGGGAAGCAGCCGGACUCUGGCUGCCACGGGGUGGCGUCCAGCAGGGGCCUGGGGCCGACUGGGGAGCCCCAGGCCCCAGCCCACCCCGGGGAGACUGCACAGCCUGAACCCAUCUACGCUGAGAGCACCAAGAGGAAGAAGGCUGUUCCAGUGCCUUCCAGGCCACAGGCCGGGGUGGAACAGGCGGCAGCUGCCCAGGGCCAGGGCCCGGUGAGGACGGCUCACGCCCGGGCUCAGAAAACAGCGUCUGGCUGCGGCCAGGACAGGGGAGGCCCAGAGGUGGCCCACCAGGCGGCGGCCACCAUCACAGUCAUGGCGGCCCACCCGGAAGAAGACCACCGCACGAUCUACCUGAGCAGCCCCGACUCCUCGGUGGGGGUGCAGUGGCCUCGCGGGCCCCUGAGCCAGGCCCCUGAGGCAGGCGAGGGGGAGCCUGCGGCUGGGCAGGGGCUCAGCUCUAGGGAGAGCCGCCAUCACGGUGCCAGUGAGAGCACGCCCAAGGGGAGGCCUGCCAUCCCUCCCAAGCUGUCCAAGAGUAGCCCCGGAGGGACCCCGGUGUCCCCAUCGGCCUCCCCUCAGUCCAGCCUCAGCGAAGGCAACUCGGCCGUCACUGGGCCCCAGCCUCCAUCCAGGGGCCCCGCUGACCCUGCUUCCUCCUGCCGGGCCAACGGUGUCCCUGCCAGCGACCCCACCAGGGGCCCUCCGCCCGCCACUGCCACGUCAGCCUUGGACCAGAGGCGGCCCCGGUACCAGACCGGCGCCUGGAGCCGCCAGUGCCGGAUAGAGGAAGAGGAGGAGGCGGAGCAGGACUUGCUGAGUCAAAGCUGGGGGAGAGAGGUGGGCAAUGGCCCCACGGACCCCUGCAACUCCUCCACCUGGCACCGCCUCCGCCCCGCAGACGGCUCCUCCGGGCAGAAGAGCAAAGCCGGAACCGGGAUGAGCAAGUCGGCCUCGUUUGCCUUUGAGUUCCCCAAGGACAAAAGUGGGAUCGAGGCGUUCUCGCCUCCCCCGCCGCCUCCGAAGUCACGGCACCUUUUAAAAAUGAACAAGAGCAGCUCUGAUUUGGAGAAGGUGAGCCAGGGCUCUGCUGAGAGCCUCAGCCCAUCCUUCAGGGGCGUCCACGUCAGCUUCACCACGGGCUCCACGGACAGCCUGGCCUCCGACUCCAGGACCUGCAGCGACGGAGGUCCAUCAUCUGCGCUGACUCACUCGCCCACCAGCAGUGGGAAGGAGCUCUUUAGCCCCGUCCCCUUCCCUUCGGGCUCCACCGAGGAUGUGUCCCCCGGUGGCCCCCUGCAGCCCCCGCCUCUCCCCCAGAAGAAGCUAGUGAGCCGGGCAGCCUCUUCCCCUGAUGGCUUCUUCUGGACCCAAGGCUCCCCCAAGCCAAGAACAGCAGGUCCCAAGCUGAACCUCAGCCACUCGGAAACCAACGUCUGUGUCCAUGACGAGUCCCACUUCAGCCACUCCUCAGGCCCCGGCAGCCGCCACCAGCACAUCUUCUCUGCUUCCGAGCCUCUGGAGAAAACGUUCAAAGACAAUGGCCCCUGGGGCCCAGCGCCAGGGCGGCCGGGCAGCCAGAGCCUGCAGGGCAAAGGGGUCUCCUCGGCCGCGGCCUCCCAGCUGAGCGUGUCCAGCCAGGCCUCGGCGGGCAGCGCCCAGCUGCAGCUCCACAGCCUCCUAAGCAGCAUCAGCAGCAAGGAGGGCACCUACACCAAGCUGGGAGGGCUCUACGCCCAGUCCUUGGUCCGCCUCGUGGCCAGGUGUGAGGACCUCUUCAUUGGCGGCCAGAAAAAGGGGCUGCACUUCAGCGAGAAUAACUGGUCCCUGUUCAAGCUGGCCUGUAACAAGCCCUGCUGCAACUCGGGGGACGCCAUUUAUUACUGUGCCACCUGCUCCGAGGACCCCGGCAGCACCUACGCUGUGAAAAUCUGCAAAACCCCUGAGCCCAAAGCAGCCUCAUACUGCAGCCCUUCCGUGCCCGUGCACUUCAACAUCCAGCAGGACUGCGGCCACUUCGUCGCCUCGGUGCCCUCCAGCAUGCUCACCUCUCCCGAUGCGCCCAAGGACCCCCUGUCUGCCCUGCCUUCACAUCCCCCCGCCCAGGAGCAGGACUGCGUGGUGGUCAUCACCCGAGAGGUACCCCACCAGACCGCCUCGGACUUUGUGCAAGGCUCAGCCACCAGCCACCAGUCUGAGCCCGAGGUUUACGAGCGGCGCGUGUGCUUCCUGCUUUUGCAGCUCUGCAACGGGCUGGAGCACCUGAAGGAGCACGGGGUCAUCCACCGGGACCUGUGCCUCGAGAACCUGCUGCUGGUGCACUGCGCCCCGCAGGCCUCCCCGGACCCCUCCUCCGCCACCUCCUGGGCCCCUCCCACCACCAUACCCCCCGCCCCUGCCGCUACCGCCUCCUCUGGCCCCUCUGCCGCCCUCCCAGCCAGCAUCACCCCCACCCCUCCGGCUGGCCCCGCCUGUCAGGGAGGGCCCGGCGAGAAGCACUUGCCCCGACUCAUCAUCAGCAACUUCCUGAAGGCCAAGCAGAAGCCGGGCGGUACCACCAACCUGCAGCAGAAAAAGAGCCAGGCCCGACUGGCGCCAGAGAUUGUGUCUGCCUCCCAGUACCGCAAGUUCGACGAGUUCCAAACGGGCAUCCUCAUUUACGAGCUGCUCCACCAGCCCAACCCGUUCGAGGUGCGGGCCCAGCUGCGGGAGCAGGAGUACCGGCAGGAGGACCUGCCCGCGCUGCCCGCGCUGUCCCUCUACUCGCCGGGCCUGCAGCGGCUCGCGCACCUGCUGCUGCAGGCCGACCCCAUCAAGCGCAUCCGCAUCGGCGAGGCCAAGCGCGUGCUGCAGUGCCUUCUGUGGGGCCCCCGGCGGGAGCUGGUGGAGCAGCCGGGCGCCUCGGAGGAGGCGCUGUGCGCCACGCUCAGCAACUGGAUCGACCUGAAGCGGGCGCUGAUGAUGAUGAAGUUCGCCGAGAAGGCGGUGGACCGCCGCCGCGGGGUGGAGCUGGAGGACUGGCUCUGCUGCCAGUACCUGGCGUCGGCGGAGCCCGGAGCUCUCUUACAAUCGCUGAAGCUCCUGCAGCUUCUGUGAGGCAGCCCCCGGCCCCCGUGCUGCCCCCAGCCCCUCCCUGCCUUGCCUUGGAAACGUCUGUGUCUCCUGGGAAAUGGUACAAAUGACUGUUGUACUUGGAUGUUUUAUAUAUAUAUAUACGUAAGAUAUAAAUACAAAAGACUGAGGCUGUCACUGCCCACCCUGGUCUGGCCUCCUCUCCUCCCCUAGUCUUGAAGUUUUCACCUGCAAUUGUGUACAUUUCUAGCUUAUUGCAAGGUCCUGAGGACAGUGUGGCCAGCAGAGUGAAGCCUGGACUCUGGUCUCACUACCCCAUUAUGGGAUCUCUUUACCCUCUUGUCAAGUGGCUAUUUAAAAAAAAAAAAGACCUCCAUUUUUAAUUAAAAUUUUCGGUUGACUCGUGAGUAAAGCUCUUUAAUACUCAAGUGCCUAAGUGCGUUAAUACCUUUGGUGGGUAAAAUUGUUUUUAAGCCCCUGAAGCAGUGGCUUCAGGACCACCUGAACUGUCCUCUAUCUUACUCUUCUCGUAAGAUAGAGCAACAGGCUGCAAGGGCCCCAGGCAUGCGGAGACCAGUUAAUCUUACCUGCUUCUCUCCCCACCUAACAAGUCUCUUAGGAAGAAUCCAGAACACAGCUGGUGCGAUCCCAGAACUUCAGAAUUUAAUCCCACUGCUUGAAAUCCAUUUCCAGUUUGCUAAAGCUGGUUGUCAUUUGUAUCAGAAGCCUGGCUCAAAGCAGAAGCCACCCCAGAUGGUUCAAACGACGAGACCUCAACAGGGGACCGCUUAGAGAGUUGUGGGCAGGGUUAAGAGAAAAACAAAGGAUGAUGAGGCAAAAGCAUGGGCAGGAAUGGGAAGGAUUCACUCAACCUGUUUCCCAGCUGUCAUCCUAGGCCAAGAUCAGUGAGAUGCCAGACACCAAGGGGACCUGGGUGAUACAGUCUGCAGGGUUGGCCUCCCUGGGCAGAGUCGAGAAGAGUGGAUGGAGGGCUAGGUGGAAAACAGCCCACUGCUGCUGCUGUCCUAGGUAAGGACAGGGCAAGAAUAGAACUGCAGUGUUCCCACUUUCAGACCGCUAGACCUCCUGCUGUUCUAAGCUCCUUUGGGUUUCCAUUUUCAAAAACCCAUUCAAAAUACUUUAAAAAUACUCAAAGAAAAUUAGGAAGCAGCAGAUCUUUCCUCCUCAAAACUAGACUCACAAGAAGUCACUAAAUACUCAUUUGAAGGGAAACAGCCCAAGACACUUGUAUUUCUACCUAAAGAGUAAUCUUCCAACUUGUGAACCAAUUUCUCAAACCUUGUUAAUAACUAUGGACAAUUUUAAAACAAAUGCAAAGAUCUUAAUGAAUGUCCUAGAAAUCUAGGAAUGUGGCUAGCAACCAGGAUGGAGAAAUCUCCCAGGUCACCUUCUGCAUAUUAAUUUCACUCCUCUUACAAGCCUUCCAGCCUGGGAUUCCAGGUAAACACACCUACACUUCCAAGCAUCUGAGGUGAAACCUGGGGCUUCGGGGCAUAUUUGUCAUUUCAACUGUUGCUUGAGCAUUGAGGGAAGAAGUGACUGAAACCAGCUUCCAACUAUGUUUGUUCAAGAGAAAGAGUUUUGAACAUGGAAAUCAUAAUUCUCCGUAGGACCUGUCUGUUUCAGAGGGUAUUAUUUUGUCAGUUGUUUCUUCCUGGGAAUUUUCCAGGCAAACCCUCUGCCUUCGAUUUGCUGUCUUUUGCUGUCUUGUUCUUUCUCACUUCAAAUAAAUAACAAUGGAGAGGGAGGAAACAAAUAUUCUGCAGGGGAAUGCAGCGCUCUUUGGAAAUAAACGUCUCAAGAGGCACAUUUUAAACCUCUGAAUUAAUUGCACCUUUUUUAUAUGCCACCCACUUCAGGAAAAAAAAACAAAACAAAACAAAACUGAGAUGGUAGAAAAGGUUUUAGGAACCAAAAUGAACCCAAAACUAAAGGUGGAAAGAAAAGGAACUAUAGCAAUAAAUUCUAAUUGAGAAGAAUGAUAGCGAUCAAACAUAAAACUUACUUCUGAGCUGUCCACCAACCUAGAAAAGUAGAAAACAACCGGUUGCAGAAUUCGUGUAAUUUUAGGAAACUGUUCAUCAGCAGGAGCAAGCCUUUUCCCGGUGCUUGGUUUUGAAGGGACUUUGCCAAGGAUUUCCUUGUCUGAAGGCAUCGAAUAAUGUUCCCAAUAGCACAUAAACAAAAUAACAUUUUUCUAGAUAGGGCAGUUUCUUCUAUCCACAGUUGGUGAAAUCCAAGUGUGGAGUGUUCAGGCCUCGUUUCGUCAACGUGGUUCUGCAGGGCACUGGCCAUCCACUCAUCCCCAUGGAUCCACCUCUUCUGUGAAUGUCAAGGAAACCUACUCCAGGCAAGAGAUGUCUUUGGAGGACCUGUGCCCUGGAAAGGAGGUCAUCUUAAGGAAAGGAGUCCAAAUUAACCUGAACACAAUAUCAUUGAUUGAGGGGGAACUGGGGAUGGACCAGAACUUCCAUGCUCAGUUUGGAGCCUUACUGGAUCCUGGGUAUUCAGUCUUCUCUGAUCUGCACGUUCCCUCCUGGGACUUGCCUACAUCCAUCCCAACUUUCGGGAGUGGCGGAAGCAAAGUCAAGUUUACUUGGGGUUUUUCUGCAUGCCAGCAAGCCAACUUGGUAUUGGGCUAUCCCAGUAGGGCUUGAACAUGUACACUUAUCACCUAUUCUGAAUGCUGGAUUCAAAUCUUUCCAGAUCUUUUACCAGAAGUGAUUACAGCUAUUUCCUACAAAAACACUGUCCUGAACACCGGGAUGUGCUUAGACUACCAAAACAUUUAUGUAUGGUAUUAGGACCUAAAGGUCAUUCUUCAGGCUCCUGACUUGAGGCCCUAUCAGGGCUAAUCAGGCAUGGAGACAGGUUAAGGGAACUGAGCAUGGCAACUGAACUCUUCAUCUAAGGGUGGAAGAGAAGGCAGGAAAUUCGAAGACAAGAUUCAGAGACAAACUGCCUGUUUCAUCACUUGCCUGGAUCCAGCACUGAGGACUUCCCACAACCCCCCAAAAGGUAUUCUUGUGUCUUAGUCCAGUUGGGCUGCUAUAACACAAUGCCAUAAAUGGUGGCUUAUGACAAUAGAAAUUUAUUUCUCAUAGUUCUAGAAGUUCGUAAGUCCAAGAUCAAGGUGCCAGCAGAUUCAGUUCUGGUAAUACCACACUCCCUAGUCCAUAGACGGCCAUAUUUUCACUGUAUCAUCACAUGGCAGAAAGGGCAAGGGAGUUCUCUGGGGUCUCUUUUAUAAGACCACUGAUGCCAUUAAUGAAGGCCCCCAACCUCAUGACCUUAUCACCACCCAAAGGCCCCACCACCUAAUACCAUCACAUUGGGAACUGAGUUUCAAUGUAUGAAUUUUGGGAGGAGAGGGGGCUACACAAACAUUCAGUCCACAGCGUCACUCUUGUCAAGACCUUCACUGGGAUCAUAUGGACACUAUUCUGUUCUGAAAGAGCUCCAGCCAUGUGGAAACUAUAGAACUCUAGACUGUGUAGAUUUCAAUUUCCAAGUUUAUAGCAGUUUCCUUUAAAAGUUAGAAUGACUUGGGACUUCCCUGGUGGCGCAGUGGUUAAGAAUCCGCCUGCCAAUGCAGGGG